GACGAACGCUGGCGGCGUGCUUAACACAUGCAAGUCGAACGGAAAGGCCCUGCUUUUGUUGGUUGCUCGAGUGGCGAACGGGUGAGUAACACGUGAGUAACCUGCCCUUGACUUUGGGAUAACUUCAGGAAACUGGGGCUAAUACCGGAUAGGAGCUCCUGCUGCAUGGUUGGGGUUGGAAAGUUUCGGCGGUUGGGGAUGGACUCGCGGCUUAUCAGCUUGUUGGUGGGGUAGUGGCUUACCAAGGCUUUGACGGGUAGCCGGCAUGAGAGGGUGACCGGCGACAAUGGGACUGAGAGACGGCCCAGACGCCUACGGGAGGCAGCAGUGGGGAAUAUUGCACAAUGGGCGGAAGCCUGAUGAAGCAACGCCGCGUGCGGGAUGACGGCCUUCGGGUUGUAAACCGCUUUCGCAUGUGACGAAGCGUGAGUGACGGUAAUGGGUAAAGAAGCACCGGCUAACUACGUG
rnacentral:rRNA from 1 species